GAUGAACGCUGGCGGCGUGCUUAACACAUGCAAGUCGAACGGAAAGGCCCAAGCUUGCUUGGGUACUCGAGUGGCGCACGGGUGAGUAACACGUGGGGGAUCUGCCCUGCACUUCGGGAUAAGCCUGGGAAACUGGGUCUAAUAUCGGAGAGGACCUCAUGUUGGAUGGUGUGGUGGAAAGUUUGUCGGUGUGGGUUUAGCUCGCGGCCUAUCAGCUUGUUGGUGGGGUAAUGGCCUACCAAGGUGUCGACGGGUAGCCGGCCUGAGAGGGUGUACGGCCGCACUGGGACCGAGGGGCGGCCGCGAUAGCGAAUGGAGGGAGCAGGGCGGAAGACUGCAGAAGCGGCGCAGGCCGGAUGCUGAGGGGCUGCGGGGCGGAAGACGGCCUUCGGGGUGUAGACCACAUGCGUAAGGGACGAAGCGUUAUGUGACGGUACCUGGAGAAGAAGCACCGGCUAACUACGUG
rnacentral:rRNA from 1 species